rnacentral:misc_RNA from 1 species
UGUAGGAGCUGACGAGUGAAACGAGGCUGCGAUCUUUUGAUUUUGCCGAUAAACAAGAUCAAAAGAUCGCAGCCUCGUUUCACUCGUCAGCU